rnacentral:rRNA from 1 species
UGCGAUUAGAGUUUGAUCCUGGCUCACGACGAACGCUGGCGGCGUGCUUAACACUUGCAACUCGAACGUGAAAGGGGGCAACCCCGAGUAGAGUGGCGAACGGGUGAGUAAUGCAUCGGAACGUGCCCAGUAGUGGGGGACAACCUCGAGAAAUCGAGGCUAAUACCGCAUACGACCUACGGGUGAAAGCGGGGGACCGCGAGGCCUCGCGCUAUUGGAGCGGCCGAUGUCCGAUUAGCUUGUUGGUAGGGUAACGGCCUACCAAGGCGACGAUCGGUAGCUGGUCUGAGAGGACGACCAGCCACACUGGGACUGAGACACGGCCCAGACUCCUACGGGAGGCAGCAGUGGGGAAUUUUGGACAAUGGGGGCAACCCUGAUCCAGCCAUGCCGCGUGCGGGAAGAAGGCCUUCGGGUUGUAAACCGCUUU